rnacentral:rRNA from 1 species
AUGUAUGGGGUCCUGCUCAGACUUCUGUCAGUGGUCAUAAUUACUAUAUCAGUUUCGUUGAUGCUUAUAGUCGCUUUACCUGGCUUUACCUUAUUAAACGCAAAUCUGAUGUGUUUGAUAUUUUUGUUCAGUUUCAGAAACAUGUUGAACGUCUUCUCAAGCACAAAAUUGUUCAUGUCCAGUCGGACUGGGGGGGGCGAGUAUCGCAACCUCAACUCCUUCUUUCAGUCGCUUGGGAUAGCUCAUCGUUUAGCAUGUCCACAUACACAUCAGCAGAAUGGUUCAGUAGAACGUAAGCAUCGUCAUAUUGUUGAAGCUGGUCUUACUCUUUUGGCCCAUGCAUCUGUUCCGUUUCGGUUUUGGAGUGAUGCUUUCACCACUGCAUGCUUUCUCAUCAACCGUACUCCCACUCGUGUUUUAAACAUGAAGACUCCCAUUGAGGUUGUCCUUAAUGAACAACCUGAUUAUACCUUUUUCAAGGUAUUUGGGUGUGCUUGCUGGCCGCAUCUUCGUCCAUAUAAUAAGCGCAAGCUUGAGUUUCGUUCUAAGAAGUGUGUUUUUCUUGGCUAUAGCUCUCUUCAUAAAGGUUACAAAUGUCUUCAUGUUCCCACUAAUCGUGUCUAUAUAUCUCGGGACGUCGUGUUUGAUGAGCAUGUUUUUCCCUUUGCCAAACUUCCUGUGUCCACUGUCGAACCACCAUCUCUGCAUUCAUCCUCUGUUGCUUCUGACCAAUUUGAUGAUGUUGCAUACUCUCCUUUGCUGUUACCUAACCAUGGUGCAGGAACCGGAUGUGGGGCUCGUUUGGAGCUGUUGGAGGAUUCACCAUCAUCAUCGCCGCCUUCUGAUGGGCACGUCGAUCGCCCUAUGUUGCAUGGCAUCGAUUCGCGUGCCCAUGCAUGGUCACCCGAAGAGCCCGUCGCGCCGAGCAUCUCCACUGCUCGGUCCGCUACGCCAGCGACCGCCGAGUCUCCAGCGGCUCGGCCCUCUUCGCCAGCGGCCGCCGAGUCUUCCGCGGCUCGGCCUGUCACGCCGUCUUCGCCCGCGGCUCGGCCCGUCACGCCGUCUUCGCCUGCAGCUCGGGUCCGCGACGCCGUCCUCACGUCGCCUUCAUCCGCGGAUCGGCCCGCGACACCGGCCGCGCCAUGGCCCACUAUGCCGGGCUCGCCAUCGGCCCGGUCUGUGACGCCGGUGUCGCCAGCUGCUUCGUCUGCUCUGCCGAUUUCGCCGGUGGGCCGGCCUUCUUCGCCGAUCGAGCCCGAGGCUAUUGUGUCUGGCUCCUCGUCACCGGCUGACUCGUCAACGUCGCCGUCCUCCAGCCCAUUGCAGGAUGCUCCGUCGACCUCGGUGGUUCCUGUGUCCCGACCACAUACACGCAUUCGCAGUGGCAUUUUCAAACCUAAGGAACGUAAGGAUGGUACGGUUGCUUGGUUGGCUGCUUGUUUGGCUGCUGCUGUUGCGGAUCCAUCUUCUGAGCCUCGCUCAUAUCAGGCUGCCCUGCGCAUUCCACAUUGGCGAGAGGCUAUGGAGCAGGAGUUUCAUGCUCUCCUUCGUAACAAGACAUGGACUCUCGUUCCUCCACCACCACGGGUAAAUGUUAUUGACUCAAAAUGGGUAUUCAAAGUGAAGAAGCAUUCGGAUGGAUCUAUUGAGCGUUACAAAGCGCGACUUGUUGCUCGCGGUUUUUGGCAGCGCCAUGGUCUUGACUAUGAGGACACCUUCAGUCCUGUCGUCAAGCCUACCACUAUUCGGCUUCUUCUCUCCAUUGCUGUUUCUCGUGGUUGGUCACUUCGUCAACUUGAUGUGCAGAAUGCUUUUCUACAUGGAUUUUUGGAGGAAGAGGUUUAUAUGAAACAACCGCCUGGUUUCUCUGAUCCUGAUCGUCCUGACUAUAUCUGUCGUCUCUCCAAAGCACUAUAUGGUUUGAAGCAAGCUCCUCGUGCCUGGCAUGCCCGCCUUGCCUCUGCCCUUCGUGCUCAUGGGUUUGUGCCGUCCACUGCUGACACUUCAUUAUUUCUUCUACAGAAGCCAGAAGUCACUAUGUAUCUUUUGGUAUAUGUCGAUGAUAUUAUCCUUGUCAGCUCUUCUCAGUAUGCUGCUGAUGCUCUUGUUUGCUCUCUUGGUGCUGAUUUUGCGGUCAAAGAUCUUGGGAAGCUUCACUACUUUCUUGGAGUUGAGGUCACUUCUCGUGCUACUGGUCUUGUCCUUACGCAGAAGAAGUACUCCUUGGAGUUGUUACAAAGAGCGGGCAUGCUGAAGUGCAAACCGACCACCACACCCAUGUCGUCUACCGACAAGAUAACAGCUGUUGAUGGUGAGCUUUUGUCUCCUGCGGAUGCCACAGAGUACAGGAGCAUUGUUGGUGGACUUCAGUACUUGACGAUCACGAGACCAGAUAUCUCUUAUGCUGUUAACAGAGUUUGUCAGUAUCUUCAGGCUCCCAGAGAUACUCAUUGGGCUGCUGUUAAACGCAUUCUUCGUUAUGUUCAGUUCACCCUGACAUUUGGUAUGCAUAUUCGGCCGACUUCCUCUCGGGUCCUUUCGGCCUUCUCUGAUGCAGAUUGGGCUGGUAGCCCAGAUGACAGGCGAUCCACGGGGGGUUAUGCAGUAUUCUUUGGCCCUAAUUUGAUCGCCUGGAGUGCUCGGAAACAGGCUACUGUGUCACGUAGCAGUACUGAAGCUGAGUACAAGGCUGUGGCUAAUGCUACUGCAGAGAUUAUUUGGGUGCAGUCUUUGCUUCAGGAGUUGGGUUUGUCUCAACCACAGCCUCCUAUUCUUUGGUGUGAUAACAUCGGUGCUACAUACCUUUCUGCAAAUCCAGUAUUUCAUGCCCGAACGAAACACAUUGAAGUUGACUAUCACUUUGUACGGGAACGUGUAUCACAGAAGCAACUCCAGAUCAAGUUUAUCUCAUCUAAGGAUCAACUUGCAGACAUCUUCACUAAGCCUUUACCUCUACCACGGUUUGAGGCUUGUAGGCGCAAUCUUACCCUUCUCAGUUCUUUAGAAAGUGGCUAA